UAGGGGGUUGAAUAGGGGGUAGGUGAUUUCGGAUUACCUGAGAGAAAACUAUUAUGAUGGGUAUUA
rnacentral:tRNA from 1 species